GGGUCACUGCUAUCGGGGUUCGAUUAAGCCAUGCGAGUCGAGAGGGUUCGGCCCUCGGCGUACUGCUCAGUAACACGUGGAUAACCUGCCCUAAGGAAGGGGAUAACCCCGGGAAACUGGGGAUAAUACCCUAUAGGUUACAGAUGCUGGAAUGCUCUGUAACUCAAAGUUCCGGCGCCUUAGGAUGGACCUGCGGCCGAUUAGGUUGUUGUUGGGGUAAUGGCCCAACAAGCCCGUAAUCGGUACGGGUUGUGGGAGCAAGAGCCCGGAGUUGGAUUCUGAGACACGAAUCCAGGCCCUACGGGGCGCAGCAGGCGCGAAAACUUUACAAUGCGGGCAACCGUGAUAAGGGAACCUCGAGUGCCUGUAUAUGCAGGCUGUCCAGGUGUCUAAAUAACACCUGAAGAAAGGGCCGGGCAAGACCGGUGCCAGCCGCCGCGGUAAUACCGGCGGCUCGAGUGGUGGCCGCUUUUAUUGGGCUUAAAGCGUUCGUAGCUGGGUUAUUAAGUCUCUUGGGAAAUCCGGCGGCUCAACCGUCGGGCGUCUAAGGGAUACUGGUAAUCUUGGAACCGGGAGAGGUGAGGGGUACUUCG
rnacentral:rRNA from 1 species